UAUUUUGUAUAGUUUUAUCUAAAAAGAAUAACUUUUGAAAUGUUUUACCAUUUUUAUUUUUAUGAAAUUCACUGAGGAGGAUGGUCUUCCCCUUCGUUCCCACUGGUUCCCACAGUGGACCGGGUUGAAUUAUAAGGGAAGGAGAGACUUGACACUUUCAUUGGCCUUUAUUACAAGCAGCUGCUUUCCUCCAUUUAUUCCCCCAAACUGCACUUUUCUGGAAAAUUCAUUGAAUUAUAAUUUUAUUACCCUCGUGACCCCCUAAAACCCUCCUCAAUCGCCUUUCCUCUCGCAUGUUGCUUCCUCCUUGUCCUCCUUUUCCCCUCUCCCCGAUCCAACCACUGAUCUCCCACUUUUUCUUCCUUCGUUACCUCAAAGCACUGCUCUCACCUCCGUCUGUCUCCCGCUCUCUUCUUGACACUCAGCACAAACCACUAGCCCACGCCGCCAGCCCUCCUCCUCUACUCCUCCUUCCCUACACCUCCUCUCUCCCACGAUCAAGUCGCUUCCAGUUGUUUUUCCUGCUGAAGAAGACAGUUGUCCAAAUGUUUAUGCGAACAACUACUUUAUUUUCCUUAACACCCUGAUCAAGUUCCAAAAUGAACUGCAACAUUUGACGACGUUAUUAUGUGCUUGCUUUUCAAGUCCAGAAGUAUUUUUCAAAGGAAUAUAAGAGAUGGAGAGCAUCAUUAUUGAGGAAACGCAGGAUAAGACGAGAAAUGUUCAGAGGGAAAUAUGCUAAGAAAGAUGCCAGUAAAGUAAACAUGAGUGGAUGAAAUUGCACAAUUGAGCCGGACCACAGCUCCACCAGCCAAGUCAUCUGCUGAGAUGGAGAGGGGGAGAAAGAAUGAGAGAGUUGAAGUACCAGUCAUAGCUUAAGUAAACAACCAUAGAAAAAACUGAGUGUCGGUGAACUGCUGCAUCGUCAGGUUUUCAUGUUGGCGUCUCAGUCUGGGUGCCCUCAGCAUUGGUGUCUUCUUACCAGGCCUUCAAAUCAUCACCCAGUCUCCACAUGACAGAGACAGACAGUCUUUGUUGAAGCAGAGGAGGGAGUUGUGGCUGGUGGCUGCCCCAUGUCUUCUUCAGUGUGUUUCGCUUGGAGCGUUCUGUCUCCACCAGGCAGUGAAAUAGUCAGACCGCAGACCUGAUCAACAGACAAGACAGACUACGAAGACACCGUUUAAUCUAGAAUAUCAUAUUGCCGUUUCUCAAGGCUUGACUCUAUUAAUAUGAUUCAUUUACGGUACUUCUCCUAAAGUGAAUUGACUGAAACAACAAACAACUUAACAGGAAAACACAACUAUUUUGGUUGAAAAUAGCAGUUCAGCUUCGGAUCUAAUCUGGGGUCUAAUAGUCAUGUAUGAGUACACAGAUACACACAGACACAAACAAAAUGCAGACACACGAACAAACACACAGCUGGAUGGCAGACUGCCCUGACACUGUUUGUGACUGGCUGUUCCAGAUUAGAUCAGAUUUAAUUAGGCUUCCCUGCUCCAUUUGGAGUGUCAGUUCUUGUAGAAAAAGUCAUUACUAAAGCAAAGGCAAUGUUACUGACGGCCUGAACUGAACACACACUGAGCCUCCUGCCAGAAUGUCACAAAGCCGAGGGUCCACACACUCCUAAACACACUGCCCAUUUACAUUAAACUCACACACACAACCAAUUUGAUCCCAUAUAGAAAUGGUGGAUUUGGUCCAUCAUCUGAUAAAGAUUACUGGGGUGAUUGAGGUGGAAGUAGAAUUUGAAUUUGUGGUUGCAGAGUAGGAAAGUUCAGCAGGUAUAUAGACUGAAUAGGGAUAGACAGAGUAGGAAAGUUCAGCAGGUAUGUAGACUGAAUAGGGAUAGACAGAGUAGGAAAGUUCAGCAGGUAUGUAGACUGAAUAGGGAUAGACAGAGUAGGAAAGUUCAGCAGGUAUGUAGACUGAAUAGGGAUAGACAGAGUAGGAAAGUUCAGCAGGUAUGUAGACUGAAUAGGGAUAGACAGAGUAGGAAAGUUCAGCAGGUAUGUAGACUGAAUAGGGAUAGACAGAGUAGGAAAGUUCAGCAGGUAUGUAGACUGAAUAGGGAUAGACAGAGUAGGAAAGUUCAGCAGGUAUGUAGACUGAAUAGGGAUAGACAGAGUAGGAAAGU